AACUUGGCGCCCCGGCCUUCGGGCGGUUAUUUUUGCACGCGGCUUCGCCCGCGGCCUAUAUUUGGCACACGGAGGUGCCUCGCAAAGUCUCGCGCCAUUCAGAGUCCGGCGGACGAAGUUGACCACCCCCACCCCCCAAGGCUAUAGCCCACCCGUUUUUGUGGCCUUUUUCCACUGGACGAACUUGGCGCCCUGGGUUUCGGGCGUUUAUUUUUGGGCGGGGCUGUGCCCGCGGCCUAUUUUUGGCACACGGAGGCACCUCGCAAAGUCUCGCGCCAUUCAGAGUCCGGCGGACGAAGUUGGCCAGCCCCACCCCCCAAGGCUAUUGCCCACCCGUUUUUGUGGCCUUUUUCCGCUGGAGGAACUUGGCGCCCCGGCCUUCGGGCAGUUAUUUUAGGGCACGGCUGUAUCCGCGGCCUAUUUUUGGCACACGGAGGUGCCUCGCAAAGUCUCGCGCCAUUCCGAGUCCGGGGGACGAAGUUGAACAGCCCCACCCCCCAAGGCUAUAGCCCACCCGUUUUUGUGGCCUUUAUCCGCUGGACGAACUUGGCGCCCCAGCCUUCGGGCGGUUAUUUUUGGGCGCGGCUGUCUACGCGGCCUAUUUUUGGCACACGGAGGUGCCUCGCAAAGUCUCGCGCCAUUCCGAGUCCGGCGGACGAAGUUGACCAGCCCCACCCCCCAAGGCUAAAGCCCACCCGUUUUUGUGGCCUUUUUCCGCUGGACGAACUUGGCGCCCCGGCCUUCGGGCGUUUAUUUUUGUUUGCGGCUGUGGCAGCGGCCUAUUUUUGGCACACGGAGGCGCCUCGCAAAGUCUCGCGCCUUUCCGAGUCCGGCGGACGAAGUUGGCCAGCCCCACCCCCCAAGGCUAUAGCCCACCCGUUUUUGUGGCCGUUUUCCGCUGGACGAACUUGGCGCCCCGGCCUUCGGGCGGUUAUUUUUGGACGCGGCUGUCCGCGCGGCCUAU
rnacentral:lncRNA from 1 species